UGCUACGUCUGGGGAAAAAAGAUGUAAAUAUAAGAAAAGCUCGACCAAUCCUUCUUGCUACAACUACAUUGCAAAGAAAGAUACAAAUAAUGAAAAACAAAAAGAAAAUGAAAUCAACCUACUACAUUACUCACGAUUUACCAAAAGCAGUGUUACAAAAGAAGAAGGAAUCCAAGAUUCAAAAUGCAAAUAGAAAUGAAAACGAGAAAAGAAAGAGAAUGGACACCCCUAGCCCCAAAAACCAGAACUUGGCAACUUCGAAAUUUCCAAAAACAACAAAAACCAACUUCCAAAAAGAUGCAAACCAAAUAGAUGCCUUUCAAUAUAUGCGAGAAAGAUCUUAUUCCUUCUCCGAAAAAAACACACACCGGAACUAAGAAAAGAAAAAUUAUAGGAGCAGUUGGAGAAAAUUUUUCUAAACAUCCUAACAACAAGAGCAAACCAAAACAGACAAAUAACCAUGUCACUAAAAACAUUGCUAAGCCUAAGAGAAAACAACCACUGCCCCUAACUCUUUUUCAGUGUCCUCCGGGCCGGCUAGUCACCGGAACUUCGGUGGAGGAUGUAGACUACAGCCCCCCAGUAACAAAGCGUGAACAAAGUUUAAUUGCCACGAGCCUCAAUGUAAGGACCCUUAUGUCAGAUGCACGGAUAACAGAACUCGAGUAUGCUAUGGAAAAAAUAAAAUGGGAUGUGUUAGGCAUCUGCGAAACUAGAAGAAAAAAUUAAGAAAUAUUAGAGUAUCCUGGAUAUAUCCUUUACCAUACAAAUAGUAAUCAUGGCCUAUACGGAGUUGGCUUUUUGGUAAAAAAACAAUUGAAAAACAACAUUAUAUCCUUUAAAAGCUAUUCUGACAGAGUAGCAUCUCUAGAACUAGCAUUACAAGAUCAAGAUCCCUUGUCUUUAAUCCAAUGCUAUGCACCCACUGAAAAAUGUAAAGAAGAAGAAUUAAAAGAAUUUUAUAAAACAUUAGAAAUGGCAACGGAAACAAUACAUACAAAAAACCUAAUAAUUAUGGGUGACUUCAAUGCCCAGAUCGGAGAGUCACAAAAAGGAGAAGAAUUAGCUUUUGGAAAGUACUCACAUGGAAAAAGAUCAAGACACGGACAAAGAUACCUAAGGAUCAGAAAAUCAAAACAGAUGCCGAUGAUAAUAACCUAAAAACACUUCUGGAUGAAAGACGAAAACUAUACAAAGAAAAUAGAACAAGAAUGGUCAAAAGUAGAAUAACAACGCUGAGCAAAAUGAUAAAUAGAAACAUUACAGAUAGGAAAAGAGCACACAGAAAGAAAACUCUAGAAAAUUAUAU